rnacentral:rRNA from 1 species
GUAGGUGGCAAGCGUUGUCCGGAAUUAUUGGGCGUAAAGCGCGCGCAGGCGGUUCUUUAAGUCUGAUGUGAAAGCCCACGGCUCAACCGUGGAGGGUCAUUGGAAACUGGGGAACUUGAGUACAGAAGAGGAAAGCGGAAUUCCACGUGUAGCGGUGAAAUGCGUAGAGAUGUGGAGGAACACCAGUGGCGAAGGCGGCUUUCUGGUCUGUAACUGACGCUGAGGCGCGAAAGCGUGGGGAGCAAACAGGGAUUAGAUACCCUGGUAGUCCACGCCGUAAACGAUGAGUGCUAAGUGUUAGGGGGGUUUCCGCCCCCCUUAGUGCUGCAGCUAACGCAUUAAGCACUCCGCCUGGGGAGUACGGCCGCAAGGCUG